AGGUUCAUUGAGAUUGUGUCAAAAUGGCUUAGGUCAACACACACUACGCCUCUGUCUUUGUCCGUGGUUUGAAGACUUUUCUGGAAGAAAACCACAAGGGACACCUACUGGGGGACUCCGGCUAUCAACAAUAGGUACAACAAUGCCCAGUCAAGUGUAUUGUGGUUGAGGGGGCUUUUGGACUGCCAAAGAGUAGAUUUAGGUGUCUACAUAAAACUGGCGGUUGUUUAUUCAUGAGACACGAUGUGUGAUGUCAAGCAGUGGCUGCAUGAAUGC